CCUACGGAGUGCUGCAGUAGGGAAUAUUGCUCAAUGGGGGAAACCCUGAAGCAGCAACGCCGCGUGGAGGAUGAAGGUCUUCGGAUCGUAAACCUCUGUCAGCAGGGAAGAACGGUCACUGUGCUAAUCAGCAGUGAAUUGACGGUACCUGCAAAGGAAGCACCGGCUAACUCCGUGCAAGCAGCCGAGGUAAUACGGAGGGUGCGAGCGUUAAUCGGAAUUACUGGGCGUAAAGCGCUCGUAGGCGGUAUGUCAAGUCAAUGGUGAAAUCCCCGCGCUCAACGUGGGAACUGCCUUUGAAACUGGCAAACUGGAGUGUGUGAGAGGAUAGUGGAAUUCCAGGUGUAGGAGUGAAAUCCGUAGAUAUCUGGAGGAACAUCAGUGGCGAAGGCGACUAUCUGGCACAUAACUGACGCUGAGGAGCGAAAGCGUGGGUAGCAAACAGGAUUAGAUACCCCAGUAGUC
rnacentral:rRNA from 1 species